CGGCAGCACAGUAAGAGCUUGCUCUUAUGGGUGGCGAGUGGCGGACGGGUGAGGAAUACAUCGGAAUCUACCUUUUCGUGGGGGAUAACGUAGGGAAACUUACGCUAAUACCGCAUACGACCUUCGGGUGAAAGCAGGGGACCUUCGGGCCUUGCGCGGAUAGAUGAGCCGAUGUCGGAUUAGCUAGUUGGCGGGGUAAAGGCCCACCAAGGCGACGAUCCGUAGCUGGUCUGAGAGGAUGAUCAGCCACACUGGAACUGAGACACGGUCCAGACUCCUACGGGAGGCAGCAGUGGGGAAUAUUGGACAAUGGGCGCAAGCCUGAUCCAGCCAUACCGCGUGGGUGAAGAAGGCCUUCGGGUUGUAAAGCCCUUUUGUUGGGAAAGAAAAGCAGUCGGCUAAUACCCGGUUGUUCUGACGGUACCCAAAGAAUAAGCACCGGCUAACUUCGUGCCAGCAGCCGCGGUAAUACGAAGGGUGCAAGCGUUACUCGGAAUUACUGGGCGUAAAGCGUGCGUAGGUGGUUGUUUAAGUCUGUUGUGAAAGCCCUGGGCUCAACCUGGGAAUUGCAGUGGAUACUGGGCGACUAGAGUGUGGUAGAGGGUAGUGGAAUUCCCGGUGUAGCAGUGAAAUGCGUAGAGAUCGGGAGGAACAUCCAUGGCGAAGGCAGCUACCUGGACCAACACUGACACUGAGGCACG
rnacentral:rRNA from 1 species